rnacentral:lncRNA from 1 species
AAGCCGUUCACACACGAGUUAAUGUUGGACAUGUAUGCACCGUGAAUGAAACCCUAAGUGCGACCGUGCCUAAAUUCAACAGCACCGCUCAAUGUCCAGAAGCCUAGCGCCGAAAUUGUGGGACUUUAUCCGUCAAGCGUUAAGUGUUCAGUUGCUGUGUGGGCUAGGCAAGCGUGGCAGGGGCGUCAUCGUCUUGGCCACCGCGUACCAGAUAUAUUGGCGAUGUGAAUGAGACGCUGCACCUCGGUACCUGUGCGCAAUGCGUACGCUCCUCGACCGCGCCGACCAAAAGUACAUGUUCCCAUCUGAAGCCAAUGCCGGUGGUUACUCAGCAGCUCUUUAGCUUGCUGCUGGCUCAAGUCCUUUCGUAGUUGCUGCAACACGGCUAACGCAGGCACGGCCGAAUGCGCUGCGAAUAGCUGUUCCAAGCCCUCAGCGGCAUCCAUUUUACUUGCAAGGUUCUGAACGACUUUCGCGAUUCUUAUGUUUACCUAAUUCUGCGUUGUUAUUAUUUAUUUCGUAAGAGU